rnacentral:rRNA from 1 species
AGCGAACGCUGGCGGCAGGCCUAACACAUGCAAGUCGAACGGCCCUUCGGGGUAGUGGCGGACGGGUGAGUAACGCGUGGGAAUGUGCCCUUUGGUACGGAACAACUGAGGGAAACUUCAGCUAAUACCGUAUGUGCCCUUCGGGGGAAGAUUUAUCGCCAUUGGAGCAGCCCGCGUUGGAUUAGGUAGUUGGUGGGGUAAAGGCCUACCAAGCCUACGAUCCAUAGCUGGUCUGAGAGGAUGAUCAGCCACAUUGGGACUGAGACACGGCCCAAACUCCUACGGGAGGCAGCAGUGGGGAAUCUUGCGCAAUGGGCGAAAGCCUGACGCAGCCAUGCCGCGUGUAUGAUGAAGGUCUUAGGAUUGUAAAAUACUUUCACCGGGGAAGAUAAUGACGGUACCCGGAGAAGAAGCCCCGGCUAACUUCGUGCCAGCAGCCGCGGUAAU